GAUGAACGCUGGCGGCGUGCCUAAUACAUGCAAGUCGAGCGAACGGACGAGAAGCUUGCUUCUCUGAUGUUAGCGGCGGACGGGUGAGUAACACGUGGAUAUCCUACCUAUAAGACUGGGAUAACUUCGGGAAACCGGAGCUAAUACCGGAUAAUAUUUUGAACCGCAUGGUUCAAAAGUGAAAGACGGUCUUGCUGUCACUUAUAGAUGGAUCCGCGCUGCAUUAGCUAGUUGGUAAGGUAACGGCUUACCAAGGCAACGAUGCAUAGCCGACCUGAGAGGGUGAUCGGCCACACUGGAACUGAGACACGGUCCAGACUCCUACGGGAGGCAGCAGUAGGGAAUCUUCCGCAAUGGGCGAAAGCCUGACGGAGCGACGCCGCGUGAGUGAUGAAGGUCUUCGGAUCGUAAAACUCUGUUAUUAGGGAAGAACAUAUGUGUAAGUAACUGUGCACAUCUUGACGGUACCUAAUCAGAAAGCCACGGCUAACUACGUG
rnacentral:rRNA from 1 species